GGGAAGACCUCAUAAAAUAGUGAAGGGUAGACUGAGUCUUGAAUGACCUAAACAAAUAUAUAGAUAUAAUUGGCCAGCCCUCAGCUGGUCUCUGAUUAUGACCCGACCUGCUGAGAUAAAAUCCAGUGCAUCCUGUGCUACCUUGUUCAUGUCCCAGGAUUCAGUGACUUUGGGCAACUGAGGCUGUACAGGAAGCAUGGCUGGAGAGGCCCCAGGAAACUUACAAUCAUGGUGGAAAGCAAAGGGGAAGCAGACUGUACAGGAAGCAUGGCUGGGAGGCUUCAGGAAUUUACAAUCAUGGCAGAAGGCAAAGAGGAAACAAGCACAUCUUCUCAUGGUCAGCAGGAGAGAGAGAGUGAAGGGGUGCUGGUGAUGCAAUCAGACAAGUUCUCUGCUGUUCUGGAGUUUACAUUUGGAAGAAUUGUGUUAUAUACCAGGGAAGGAUGUGGUAACUCUCCUGAAACCUUCCCUUGGUCAUUGUCUUCUUCUUCUUCUCCUCCUCCCUUUUCUCCCUCUCUUCCCCCUCCUCCUUCUCCUCUUAUUCUUCUUCCUCCUUCUGUUUUUAAAUGAGGAAGCCCAUAGAAAAUAUUGUGACAGGGAGAAAUGGAUUUUAAAUAAGUAUGACUGAAAAAAAACUUUUACUAUAAUAGAAAAUCUUGGUGCUGAGGGAAGAAAUCCAAAAAAUUAAAAAUCUUCAGAAGGUAUGUCUUUGAACAGACAAACAUUCAUGGACUUUUGAAAUUCAUUACUUCUUUGGUGCCUGGGAGACUGACUUGCUGUGUCUUUCAGCUCUUCUUGUUAGAGGGAUAAAGAUUCCGCCUAACAUAUUUUCUCAACAAACUUUUGCUUUCCAAUAAACUGAAUAAAGUGGGAAUAUAGCUUCUCACUUUCUCCUAACCUUCAAUUAAUUAUUAAUAAAAACUUUAAUGUACAUGUUAGUUCAAGCUUCUAUUUCAUAUUCUCCUUAAGAUGUUUACACAUCAACAGGGGCUAUAAUCUCAGAGUUUCCUGAAUAACUUGGGGUGAUGUUUCGAAUAGCAAUGCUGAGGGAAAUUGAGGGAAUCCGCUGGGGGAGAGAUGUGGUAGGUGGAAGGAAGUGUUUUGGGGCAGUCAAAGAUAUGGAUGAGCCCUUCCUCACUCGUUUGGGCCAGAGCUUCCUUCACAGCCCCCUCUGUUCUCUAACAAGGUGACUGUCUCAGUUUGGGGUGCAUGAAACCCAAAUCUACUCAAAGUAGAUCAAGAAAAAGAGAAAUUAUUGGAAGGAUUCAGGGAAACCUCACAGAAGUCAACUGUGGAAAGGCAGAUGGGGAACUCCCUGCUUUCUAAUCUCAACUUCUUUUUGUAUGUCUGUUCUGCUCCUGUUUUUCUUUUUUUUCUUUUUUUCUGUCUUUUUUUUCUUUUCUCUUUUCUU
rnacentral:lncRNA from 1 species